UUCGGACCUUGCGCUAAAUGAUGAGCCUAAGUCGGAUUAGCUAGUUGGUGGGGUAAAGGCCUACCAAGGCGACGAUCUGUAGCGGGUCUGAGAGGAUGAUCCGCCACACUGGGACUGAGACACGGCCCAGACUCCUACGGGAGGCAGCAGUGGGGAAUAUUGGACAAUGGGCGAAAGCCUGAUCCAGCCAUGCCGCGUGUGUGAAGAAGGCCUUUUGGUUGUAAAGCACUUUAAGCGAGGAGGAGGCUACUAGUACUAAUACUACUGGAUAGUGGACGUUACUCGCAGAAUAAGCACCGGCUAACUCUGUGCCAGCAGUCGCGGUAAUACAGAGGGUGCGAGCGUUAAUCGGAUUUACUGGGCGUAAAGCGUGCGUAGGCGGCUUUUUAAGUCGGAUGUGAAAUCCCCGAGCUUAACUUGGGAAUUGCAUUCGAUACUGGGAAGCUAGAGUAUGGGAGAGGAUGGUAGAAUUCCAGGUGUAGCGGUGAAAUGCGUAGAGAUCUGGAGGAAUACCGAUGGCGAAGGCAGCCAUCUGGCCUAAUACUGACGCUGAGGUACGAAAGCAUGGGGAGCAAACAGGAUUAGAUACCCUGGUAGUCCAUGCCGUAAACGAUGUCUACUAGCCGUUGGGGCCUUUGAGGCUUUAGUGGCGCAGCUAACGCGAUAAGUAGACCGCCUGGGGAGUACGGUCGCAAGACUAAAACUCAAAUGAAUUGACGGGGGCCCGCACAAGCGGUGGAACAUGUGGUUUAAUUCGAUGCAACGCGAAGAACCUUACCUGGCCUUGACAUACUAGAAAC
rnacentral:rRNA from 1 species